rnacentral:rRNA from 1 species
AUUGAACGCUGGCGGCAGGCCUAACACAUGCAAGUCGAGCGGAUGAAGGGAGCUUGCUCCUGGAUUCAGCGGCGGACGGGUGAGUAAUGCCUAGGAAUCUGCCUGGUAGUGGGGGAUAACGUCCGGAAACGGGCGCUAAUACCGCAUACGUCCUGAGGGAGAAAGUGGGGGAUCUUCGGACCUCACGCUAUCAGAUGAGCCUAGGCCGGAUUAGCUAGUUGGUGGGGUAAAGGCCUACCAAGGCGACGAUCCGUAACUGGUCUGAGAGGAUGAUCAGUCACACUGGAACUGAGACACGGUCCAGACACCUACGGGAGGCAGCAGUGGGGAAUAUUGGACAAUGGGCGAAAGCCUGAUCCAGCCAUGCCGCGUGUGUGAAGAAGGUCUUCGGAUUGUAAAACACUUUAAGUUGGGAGGAAGGGCAGUAAGUUAAUACCUUGCUGUUUUGACGUUACCAACAGAAUAAGCACCGGCUAACUUCGUG